rnacentral:rRNA from 1 species
GAUGAACGCUGGCGGCGUGCCUAAUACAUGCAAGUCGAGCGAACGGACGAGAAGCUUGCUUCUCUGAUGUUAGCGGCGGACGGGUGAGUAACACGUGGAUAACCUACCUAUAAGACUGGGAUAACUUCGGGAAACCGUAGCUAGUACCGGAUAAUAUUUUGAACCGUAUGGUUCAAAAGUGAAAGACGGUCUUGCUGUCACUUAUAGAUGGAUCCGCGCUGCAUUAGCUAGUUGGUAAGGUAACGGCUUACCAAGGCAACGAUGCAUAGCCGACCUGGGAGCAUGAUCGGCGACACGAGAUCGGGACCGCGGUCCAGCCGACUCAGGGACGGAGCAGAAGGGAAUCUUCGGAAAUGGGCGAAAACAUGACGGAACAACGCCGCGUCUGUGCUAACAGUCUUCGGUUCGUGAAACUCUGUUAUUGGGGAAAAACAUAUUUGUAAGUAACUGUGCAGAGAUUGACGGUAACUAAUCAAAAAGCCACGGCUAACUACGUG